rnacentral:rRNA from 1 species
AGGAUGAACGCUGGCGGCGUGCCUAACACAUGCAAGUCGAACGUCCUGUCUCGCAAGAGGCAGGGAGUGGCGGACGGGUGAGUACCACGUGGGUCAUCUACCGUGAGGUGAGGAAUACCGGCGAGAAAUCGCCGACAAGACCGCAUAGGCUCGAUGCAAGUCGAGCAAAGCUCUUUCGAGAGAGGGAGCGCCACACGAGGAGCCUGCGCCCGAUUAGCUAGCUGGUGGAGUAACGGUUCACCAGGGCGACGAUCGGUAGCUGGUCUGAGAGGACGAUCAGCCACACUGGGAUUGAGAACGGCCCAGACUCCUACGGGGGGCAGCAGUGAGGAAUUUUCGUCAAUGGGGGCAACCCUGAACGAGCAACGCCGCGUGCAGGAAGAGGUUUCGGAUCGUAAACUGCUUUUCUCGGGGAAGAGAACGGACGGUACCCGAGGAAUCAGCCCCGGCUAACUACGUGCCAGCAGCCGCGGU